GAUGAACGCUGGCGGCGUGCCUAAUACAUGCAAGUCGAACGGUGUCUCUUCGGAGGCACAGUGGCGAACGGGUGAGUAACGCGUAGGUGACCUGCCCCAAAGUGAGGGAUAACAGACCGAAAGGUCUGCUAAUACCGCAUGUGGAUAUGCGAGAUAGGGUAGCAUAUCGAAAAGAGACAUUUGCUUUGGGAGGGGCCUGCGUCCCAUCAGCUAGUUGGUAAGGUAACGGCUUACCAAGGCGAUGACGGGUAGGGGACCUGAGAGGGUGGCCCCCCACAAUGGAACUGAAACACGGUCCAUACACCUACGGGUGGCAGCAGUAGGGAAUAUUGCAAAAUGGGCGAAAGCCUGAUGCAGCAACGCCGCGUAAGUGAUGAAGGCCUUCGGGUCGUAAAACUCUUUUAGAGGGGAUGAGGAAGGACAGUACCCUCUGAAUAAGCCUCGGCUAACUACGUG
rnacentral:rRNA from 1 species